rnacentral:rRNA from 1 species
CUGUAUGAAUGGCAUAACGAGGGUUUAACUGUCUCCCUCCCCCAGUCAAUGAAAUUGAUCUGCCCGUGCAGAAGCGGACAUAAACACAUAAGACGAGAAGACCCUAUGGAGCUUUAGACAAAAGAUCAAACAUGUAAAGAAACCAAACCAACCAAAAGGAACACAAAGGCCACAAAACCCAACGUAAAAUGAUCAAAAUGUCUUCGGUUGGGGCGACCAUGGGGGAAAGAAAAGCCCCCACGAGGAACUAAGGGCAAUCCAUUAAGCCAAGAGAUACACCUCUAAGCAACAGAAAAUCUGACCAAAAAUGACCCAGGACACUAAUCCUGAUCAACGAACCAAGUUACCCUAGGGAUAACAGCGCAAUCCUUUCCCAGAGUCCAUAUCGACGAAAGGGUUUACGACCUCGAUGUUGGAUCAGGACAUCCUAAUGGUGCAGCCGCUAUUAAGGG